CAUCGGCUAAAGCAAGAGAGUUGGCUUGGCAAAAAAUAACGGACAGAGUAAAUGCGUGUAAUCCUUCUGGAGCCACAAGAACUUUAAGCCAAGUCAAAAUGAAACACAAAAACAUUCUGCAAAAAGCUAACAGAAAGAAGACUGAAGCCCGUCUAACUGGUGGGGGGCCACCACCACCUCCCCUCACCCCAUCUGAGGAGCUGGCUCUGUCCCUUAAUAAAGGGCGACCAGUGGUUGCUGGCAUUCCAGGGGGCAGUUCAUCACACAUACUAUGCACCACAAGUGAUGGUGAAAAAUGGUGACAUGUAAGUUUACCUCUAUGAUUUGUUUUCAUUUUUUGUCCUGAUAAAUUACUAUCUCUGUCACUUAAAGGCUUUUUGAACAAGAUUUUAUGUAGGCUUAUUUUAUUUAACUGCAUAUGAUGUAUUAUUUUCUUUGAUAAUAUUGAGAAUUUAAUGGGUUGCGUGUUCUUAUAGAUACUGAUGGACGGAUUGUAUUAUUGGACUCUCCAGAAAGAACACAGUCUGUCA